GCUCUUGUCUUUCAUCUUCGAGUCAUGACGGAAGGACCGUUACGUGAGCUUCAGGAAGAAGAAGUAGAGAUGUUGCUCCACUUAGAGGAGGAGCAUGCCCAAGCAGUGGCAGCAUUACUCAAUGGUGAAGAUGAAGAAAUGCCUGAAGAAAUACUUCAUCACAUCCAGGAUAUAAGAGAUGAUCAAGCUGAGAGAGUGAGAGCGAGAGGCUAUGUGGUAGCCACUGUACCAGCCUACCUUGAUGAUGACUUCCGUGGGCAUUUCCGGAUGACUCGACACCAGGUGCAGCAACUGCAGGAGGACUUGGGCGCGGCAGGGGCGUACGCCGAAGACCAUGGCGGAAGGGAGCCCAUUUCUCCAGGCAAAGCACCAUUGGUCCUUCUGUGGACUUUAGCCAAUCAGGACACUAUUCGGAGCAUUAGUGACAGGUUCGAUCUUACCAAGUCGAGUGUAAUACGCUCGAACCGACGCUUGACGAAUGCGAUCGUAAACGACCUGCUCGGAGAACACGUGAAGUGGCCAAACAACACUGCAGCUGGUGCGAUCGACUGUGCUGGGGGCAUCGAGA